rnacentral:rRNA from 1 species
ACCCGCUGAACUUAAGCAUAUCAAUAAGCGGAGGAAAAGAAACCAACCGGGAUUACCUCAGUAACGGCGAGUGAAGCGGUAACAGCUCAAAUUUGAAAUCUGGCUUCGGCCCGAGUUGUAAUUUGUAGAAGAUGCUUCGGGUGUAGCUCCGGUCUAAGUUCCUUGGAACAGGACGUCAUAGAGGGUGGGAAUCCCGUAUGUGACUGGGUGCUUUCGCCUAUGUGAAGCUCUUUCGACGAGUCGAGUUGUUUGGGAAUGCAGCUCAAAAUGGGUGGUAUAUUUCAUCUAAAGCUAAAUAUUGGCCAGAGACCGAUAGCGCACAAGUAGAGUGAUCGAAAGAUGAAAAGCACUUUGGAAAGAGAGUUAAACAGUACGUGAAAUUGUUGAAAGGGAAGCGUUUGCAACCAGACUUGCACGUUACUGAUCAUCCGGUGUUCUCACCGGUGCACUCAGCUGCGUUCAGGCCAGCAUCGGUUUAGGUGGUUGGAUAAAGGCCUUGGGAAUGUAGCUUCCUUCGGGGAGUGUUAUAGCCCUCGGUGCAAUGCAGCCUACCUGGACCGAGGACCGCGCUUCGGCUAGGAUGCUGGCGUAAUGGUUGUAAACGACCCGUCUUGAAACACGG